rnacentral:rRNA from 1 species
AGGAUAAACGCUGGCGGCGUGCCUAACACAUGCAAGUCGAACGUCCUACGCAAGUAGGGAGUGGCGGACGGGUGAGUAACACGUGGGCAAUCUACCUUUCGGUGAGGAAUACCGGCGAGAAAUCGCCGACAAUACCGCAUACGCUUCGCAAGAAGCAAAGUCGCAAGACGCCGGAGGAGGAGCCUGCGCCCGAUUAGCUGGUUGGUGAGGUAAUGGCCCACAAGGCGACGACGGGU